rnacentral:rRNA from 1 species
AUGGUAGGAUAGAGGCCUACCAUGGUGGUAACGGGUAACGGGGUGUUAGGGCACGACACCGGAGAGGGAGCCUGAGAAACGGCUACCACAUCCAAGGAAGGCAGCAGGCGCGCAAAUUACCCAAUCCCGACACGGGGAGGUAGUGACAAUAAAUAACAAUACAGGGCUCUUUUGGGUCUUGUAAUUGGAAUGAGUACAAUUUAAAUCUCUUAACGAGGAACAAUUGGAGGGCAAGUCUGGUGCCAGCAGCCGCGGUAAUUCCAGCUCCAAUAGCGUAUAUUAAAGUUGUUGCAGUUAAAAAGCUCGUAGUUGAAUCUCGGGAUCAAUAUGUCGGUCGUGCCUUCGGUACGUACUGGUAUCAUUGGUCUCUCCUUCCUGACGAACCAUGAUGUCAUUAAUUUGGUGUUAUGGGGAGUUAGGACUGUUACUUUGAAAAAAUUAGAGUGUUUAAAGCAGGCUUUAGCUUGAAUACAUUAGCAUGGAAUAAUGAAAUAGGACGUUCGAACCUAUUUUGUUGGUUUCUAGGAUCAACGUAAUGAUUAAUAGGGAUAGUUGGGGGCAUUAGUAUUCAAUUGUCAGAGGUGAAAUUCUUGGAUUUAUUGAAGACUAACUACUGCGAAAGCAUUUGCCAAGGAUGUUUUCAUUAAUCAAGAACGAAAGUUAGGGGAUCGAAGACGAUCAGAUACCGUCGUAGUCUUAACCAUAAACUAUGCCGACUAGGGAUCGGAUGAUGUUAAUUUUUUAAUGACUCAUUCGGCGCCUUACGGGAAACCAAA